rnacentral:rRNA from 1 species
UACGUAGGGGGCGAGCGUUGUCCGGAUUCGUUGGGCGUAAAGCGCGCGUAGGCGGCUUCGUAAGUCGGCCGUGAAAUCUCCAGGCUUAACCUGGAGGGGUCGGGCGAGACUGCGGAGCUCGAGGUGGGCAGAGGGCAGUGGAAUUCCGGGUGUAGUGGUGGAAUGCGUAGAGAUCCGGAGGAACACCAGUGGCGAAGGCGGCUGCCUGGGCCUGGCCUGACGCUGAGGCGCGAAAGCGUGGGGAGCGAUCCGG